UACAUUUGGACAGACUGAAGAAAAGAAUGGAGUGCCACCAAAUGCUCCAGAAUUUUGGAAACCAACGCAUCACAGAUCGGAUGAAACUUGGGUCAAGCAACGAGCUGAACAGAUAAUGGAAAAAUUGCAAGAAGUACAAAACCAAGAAGAUGAGAGCAUUUCUUUAAAUUUGGAGGAGAAUCUUGCCCGCGUUCUUCCACCACGAUCGGGAUAUUAGCUUGGAUGUGGAUGGGGUCCUAAGCCUAAAAAUAGCUGCGUAUCAAGGCUGAAUAGGUCUACUCAGGAAGCAAGAGAGCAUAACGUCCUAUUAGAAAAACGAGUUCAAGAGCUAGAAGCACAAUUAGAGCAACAAACUUCUCAAAUGCGGGAAACAGAAGCACGAAUUGAAGAGCGCAUCAAGGCUCAAGUUGAGGCUAAUAUCGCAGCCUACUUUGAGCGUUUGCACACAAUGGCUCGAUCUUCCCCAAAUUCAUCCUAGCUAGCCGAAGCACCUCCCCUCUUGAUCUCAAAAUCAAGUUUACAAGAUCCAACCACGUUGGAGUUGCUCGUACAUCGCUCUUUCAUAUUGUUAUUGUAUUUGCCAUUGUUUCUUUUAUGUUGCUUUAUGUAGUUAACUUUAGGGUGAUGUAAAUAUUUCCUUUUUUUAUGUAUUCUAUAUGAAUG